rnacentral:rRNA from 1 species
CGAAGGUGGCAAGCGUUGUUCGGAUUUACUGGGCGUACAGGGAGCGUAGGCGGUUGGAUGAGCCCUCCGUGAAAUCUCCAGGCUUAACCUGGAAAGUGCAGAGGGGACUGUUCAGCUAGAGGAUGGGAGAGGAGCGCGGAAUUCCCGGUGCAGCGGUGAAAUGCGUAGAGAUCGGGAGGAAGGCCGGUGGCGAAGGCGGCGCUCUGGAACAUUUCUGACGCUGAGGCUCGAAAGCGUGGGGAGCAAACAGGAUUAGAUACCCUGGUAGUCCACGCCUUAAACGAUGGAUACUAAGUGUCGGCGGGUUACCGCCGGUGCCGCAGCUAACGCAGUAAGUAUCCCGCCUGGGAAGUACGGCCGCAAGGUUG